AUUUGUGAGUGAGUGAUUCAUUCUCAAUCUCUCUCAUUGUGAAAUAUCGAUAUUGUGGUGCUGAGUUGUUCAAGUUAUUAUAUAUUGUUGAAGCUGAUUUUUUAUUAAGUUUCAUCUAGGCCUAUUUCUUCUUAUCCAUCAAGCUGCUGCACAGAAAAUGUUCGGCAUAAGUGAAGCCACGGAAGCCAAAGUUACAAGCGUUGAUGCUAAGUGGCUUCAACAAGCCAAAACCAGAUGUGAAAGAAGAGGGAAAAAACCUGCCACUGUGGACAGUGGGGAAGAAGUUCCACUCAAUGGGGAUGAUGA